rnacentral:rRNA from 1 species
ACGGGGUGCAGCAGGCGCGAAAACUUUGCAAUGUGCGAAAGCACGACAAGGUUAAUCCGAGUGGUUUCUGCUAAAGGAACCUUUUGUUAGUCCUAGAAACACUAGCGAAUAAGGGGUGGGCAAGUUCUGGUGUCAGCCGCCGCGGUAAAACCAGCACCUCAAGUGGUCAGGAUGAUUAUUGGGCCUAAAGCAUCCGUAGCCGGCUCUGUAAGUUUUCGGUUAAAUCUGUACGCUCAACGUACAGGCUGCCGGGAAUACUGCAGAGCUAGGGAGUGGGAGAGGUAGACGGUACUCGGGAGGAAGGGGUAAAAUCCUUUGAUCUUUCGAUGACCACCUGUGGCGAAGGCGGUCUACCAGAACACGUCCGACGGUGAGGGAUGAAAGCUGGGGGAGCAAACCGGAUUAGAUACCCGGGUAGUCCCAGCUGUAAACUAUGCAAACUCAGUGAUGCAUUGACUUGUGGUCAAUGCAGUGCUGCAGGGAAGCCGUUAAGUUUGCCGCCUGGGAAGUACGUACGCAAGUAUGAAACUUAAAGGAAUUGGCGGGGGAGCACCACAAGGGGUGAAGCCUGCGGUUCAAUUGGAGUCAACGCCAGAAAUCUUACCCGGAGAGACAGCA